UGUAAAAAUAUACAAAUGAUCUGGGAAAAG
rnacentral:piRNA from 1 species